GGCUGGUCCAUGUGCAGUGGUGUUUACAAAUAAUUUAUCACAACCAGUUACAGAUUUCUUUCUUCCUUCUCCACUCCCACUGCUUCACUUGACUAGCCUUAA
rnacentral:Y_RNA from 1 species